CUGGCGGCAUGCCUUACACAUGCAAGUCGAACGGCAGCACGGGGGCAACCCUGGUGGCGAGUGGCGAACGGGUGAGUAAUAUAUCGGAACGUGUCCUGUAGCGGGGGAUAACCUAUCGAAAGAUGGACUAAUACCGCAUACGACCUACGGGUGAAAGCGGAGGACCGCAAGGCUUCGCACUAUAGGAGCGGCCGAUAUCGGAUUAGCUAGUUGGUGGGGUAAAAGCUCACCAAGGCGACGAUCCGUAGCUGGUCUGAGAGGACGACCAGCCACACUGGAACUGAGACACGGUCCAGACUCCUACGGGAGGCAGCAGUGGGGAAUUUUGCGCAAUGGGCGAAAGCCUGACGCAGCAACGCCGCGUGAGUGAUGAAGGCCUUCGGGUCGUAAAGCUCUGUCAGUGGGGAAGAACCGCCAGGAGGCUAAUACCCUUUUGGUCUGACGGUACCCACAAAGGAAGCACCGGCUAACUCCGUGCCAGCAGCCGCGGUAAUACGGAGGGUGCAAGCGUUGUUCGGAAUUAUUGGGCGUAAAGCGCGUGUAGGCGGUUUGUUAAGUCUGGUGUGAAAGCCCUGGGCUCAACCUGGGAAGUGCAUUGGAUACUGGCAAACUUGAGUACGGGAGAGGAUAGUGGAAUUUCGAG
rnacentral:rRNA from 1 species